AUUGAACGCUGGCGGCAUGCCUUACACAUGCAAGUCGAACGGCAGCGGGGGAGAAGCUUGCUUUUCCUGCCGGCGAGUGGCGAACGGGUGAGUAAUACAUCGGAACGUGCCCUGUAGUGGGGGAUAACUAGUCGAAAGAUUAGCUAAUACCGCAUACGACCUGAGGGUGAAAGUGGGGGACCGCAAGGCCUCAUGCUAUAGGAGCGGCCGAUGUCUGAUUAGCUAGUCGGUGGGGUAAAGGCCUACCAAGGCGACGAUCAGUAGCUGGUCUGAGAGGACGAUCAGCCACACUGGGACUGAGACACGGCCCAGACUCCUACGGGAGGCAGCAGUGGGGAAUUUUGGACAAUGGGCGAAAGCCUGAUCCAGCAAUGCCGCGUGUGUGAAGAAGGCCUUCGGGUUGUAAAGCACUUUUGUCCGGAAAGAAAUGGCUCUGGUUAAUACCUGGGGUCGAUGACGGUACCGGAAGAAUAAGGACGGGCUAACUACGUGCCAGCAGCCGCCGUAA
rnacentral:rRNA from 1 species